CAUUGGUGAAGUUGUUCAUGAGCGGCCGGAGGCUGGUGAAGGUCAGGACGGGCAGCACCGCGAAGGGCAGCUGGGGGCACAGGACAGGAUGCUGCACGUCCUGGAAGGCGGCGACGAGCACAGUGGGGACGAUGGCGCACGAGCGGGUGAAGAGGACGCGGGUGAAGCGGGACCAGCGCAGCUGCAGGAAGCCCUGCGGGGUUGGGGCAGGUGUCAGGGCGAGGCUGGGACCCCCCCCUGCCCAAGUCUGGGGGCAGGAUUGGGGCCUGGACACCCUGCCCCCACCAGGCGGUUCAGGUGCCCACUUAUCUUCCAGGCCCAGGGCUGGGGGAGGCGGGGGCUGCGGGUCAGGAGUGGGGGGCACUGGGUGGCUGCAGCUGCACUGAGCAGCCACCAGGUGUCAGCGGGACCCAGGGAACCGCUCAUUACAAGAUUCAGUUAUGCAAAUUAUGUAAAUGAAGUGCAUGAACUCUGCUCCCUUGUGCAA